UACGGGGGGGGCAAGCGUUGUUCGGAAUUAUUGGGCGUAAAGCGCGUGUAGGCGGCUUUGCAAGUCGGGUGUGAAAGCCCUCGGCUCAACCGAGGAAGAGCGCCCGAAACUGCAGAGCUUGAGUGCCGGAGAGGGUGGCGGAAUUCCCCAAGUAGAGGUGAAAUUCGUAGAUAUGGGGAGGAACACCGGUGGCGAAGGCGGCCACCUGGACGGUGACUGACGCUGAGACGCGAAAGCGUGGGGAGCAAACAGG
rnacentral:rRNA from 1 species